rnacentral:rRNA from 1 species
GACGAACGCUGGCGGCGUGCUUAACACACGCAAGUCGAACGGAAAGGCCCUGCUUUUGUGGGGUGCUCGAGUGGCGAACGGGUGAGUAACACGUGAGUAACCUGCCCUUGACUUUGGGAUAACUUCAGGAAACUGGGGCUAAUACCGGAUAGGAGCUCCUGCUGCAUGGUGGGGGUUGGAAAGUUUCGGCGGUUGGGGAUGGACUCGCGGCUUAUCAGCUUGUUGGUGGGGUAGUGGCUUACCAAGGCUUUGACGGGUAGCCGGCCUGAGAGGGUGACCGGCCACAUUGGGACUGAGAUACGGCCCAGACUCCUACGGGAGGCAGCAGUGGGGAAUAUUGCACAAUGGGCGGAAGCCUGAUGCAGCAACGCCGCGUGCGGGAUGACGGCCUUCGGGUUGUAAACCGCUUUCGCCUGUGACGAAGCGUGAGUGACGGUAAUGAGUAAAGAAGCACCGGCUAACUACGUG